rnacentral:lncRNA from 1 species
GGAUAGCGAGGACAAGGGUGGGACAUGCUAUUCCGGAAGGCGGUCGGCCCAAGUCCGACGGCUUAGAAAGGAAAAUAAAGGAGGGGUAGAGAAAGACUGGCGUGGAAUCACGGGCAAGGGAGGGUGCACGAGACUGACGCAAGAGAGAGCCAUCUUUUCUUUGAGAAUGUGGAAUGCCUUCUGCCUUAUCUGCAGCAUUAAUUUCUGACAAGGCUUUUGUUUUUUUCUUUUCUUGAUAAAAGUAGAGACAGCGCUCUACUGCAUGCAUGGAACCAGGUCACCACGUGAUAAUCCCAGCAUUUGAAAGAUGACUUUCGGUGGAAUCGUUGGCGAGUAUCAUGAAAAGGACGCUUAUGGUUAAGACAUGCUAUCAUAGCGGACUUUACUCUUAUCCCAAGUUCGCAACGGCUAAGCUCUGGAGCUGUUGCUUAUGAUAACGUUGAGAGUAGGAGCCAUGAUUUGACAAAGUCAGACCCCUAUUCGGAUUUGUAUUGGAAUAAAGUGAUGAAUAUUAUAGCAAUGAGUGUAUAAGCUAUCAUAAUGAUAGUGCUCAAGUAACAACAUUAUUUAACUAUAUUGCUGUUCAUGAAAUUAUGCCUUUUGGAUUGACAUGGGGAUUUGAAUUUUUUAGAUAAUUAUCUUGAUUGCAGAAACAACAAAAAUUCGAAAUAAAAGCUCCUAUAUAUUUUCAGAUAUGAUGAAGUUUAAUGGAAUAACAGCUA